AUAUAAUUCUAUCUAUCUUCUAUCUAUCUAUCUAUCUAUCUAUCUAUCUAUCUAUCUACGUUUUGCCUGGAGAGAGCCUUGCCUUUGCCCUCACUUGCCAUGAAGACCUAGUCUGGCAUACCAUUUGGUCUCAAAUGCAGCCUAUAGAUUUGGGCUCUUGGAGGAAGUGAGAACAAAGACCACUUUCUUGUAUUCAUUCUGCCUUCAUUCUGCCUUCAUUCUGCCCAAGACACACCUACCCGAACCAUGCCGUCUUGACUUCCAGUGAUGAUGACAUGGUUUGUGUCCCAUGCUGGCCCUUCCAUCAUGUAGCAGCAGGUUAUGACUCCUUCAGGGCCCCAGGCCGUGGUGAUGCUGGCCAGUGGCUGUCCGUUGACAUUCCACAGAGACAAGUGGGCUCCCGCACAGGAGACAAUGGUGCCCUGCAGCAAUAAAAACUGAUUUCACUCCAUGCUGAGGUCACUGCCUGCCCAUCCGCAUUUGCUCAGCCAGAGUUUGCACAUCCCAGCACCCUUAACCUGCUAUCUUCUGAAGACUAACGAAGGUACUCCAAGACCUAAGACACCCACUUCUUAUUAGAUGGCUCAUAGGUCUCUUGUGUUUUCACACAACUACAAAUUCCUGGCUAUUUCCAUAUUGCAGUCAUGUGUUUGGAUACUGCUUUCUCUGACACAA
rnacentral:lncRNA from 1 species